rnacentral:rRNA from 1 species
GACGUAGGGUGCGAGCGUUGUCCGGAUUUAUUGGGCGUAAAGAGCUCGUAGGCGGCUCGUCGCGUCGACCGUGAAAACCCGCAGCUUAACUGCGGGCCUGCGGUUGAUACGGGCGGGCUAGAGUUCGGUAGGGGAGACUGGAAUUCCUGGUGUAGCGGUGAAAUGCGUAGAUAUCGGGAGGAACACCAGUGGCGAAGGCGGUUGCCUGGAGCUUUGCUGACGCUGAGGCGCGAAAGCCAGGGGAGCAAACGGG